GACGAACGCUGGCGGCGUGCUUAACACAUGCAAGUCGAACGGAGUGGCGAAAGGGUGAGUAACACGUGGGUGAUCUGCCUUGCACUUCGGUAUAAGCUUGGGAAACUGGGUCUAAUACCGGAUAGUGCAAGAUGAGCUCGCGGCCUAUCAGCGUGUUGGUGGGGUGAUUGCCUACCAAGGCGUCGACGGGUAGCCGGCCUGAGAGGGUGUACGGCCACACUGGGACUGAGAUCCGGGCCAGACCCGUACGGGGGGCAGCAGUGGAGAAUAUUGCGCCAUGCGCGGAAGCCGGAUGGAGCGAAGCAGCGUGGUGGAUGAAUGCAUGCUGGUUGUAAACUCCUUUCGACAGGGACGCGGUACCUGUAUAAGAAGCACCGGCUAACUACGUGCCAGCAGCCGCGGUAAUAC
rnacentral:rRNA from 1 species